GAUGAAGAACGUAGCGAAAUGUGAUACGUAAUGUGAAUUGCAGAAUUCAGUGAAUCAUCGAAUCUUUGAACGCAUAUUGCGCUCUCUGGUAUUCCGGAGAGCAUGCUUGUUUGAGUAUCAGUAAACACCUCAACUCCCUUUUCUUUUUUGAAAUUGGAGCUGGACUUGAGUGAUCCCAACGCUUUCUUCCAAGAAAGUGGCGGGUUGCUUGAAAUGCAGGUGCAGCUGAACUUUUCUCUGAGCUAUAAGCAUAUCUAUUUAGUCUGCCUAAAAAACAGAUUAUUACCUUUGCUGCAGCUAACAUAAAGGAGACUAGUUCUUGUGCUGACUGAUGCAGGAUUCACAGAGACAGCUUCGGCUGACUUUGUAAACUCGAUCUCAAAUCAAGUAAGACUACCCGCUGAACUUAAGCAUAUCAAUAAGCGGAGGA
rnacentral:misc_RNA from 1 species